rnacentral:lncRNA from 1 species
AAGCAAUCACCAACCGCCCCCCCACCCCAGAACCCUACACCGGCCAACCUCCCCCAUCCAUCUAACCCUUCUCUCUCUCUUCCAAAACUUAUCAAGACACCCCACCCCCGUCCACCUUUGGCGAACCCAGCAGCAACACCACCGUCACCUACACAUCACCUUAUACAAUGCCGCAAUACCAGAUCUAACCCAAAACCCAGCAUGUCAUUCUAAACCCCUACCCCAUCAGAUCUAGCCUUCAACACCGACGAGCUAUUGGAGACUCUCUCUCUCUCCAUCUAUGUCGCUCUCUCACUUUCAUAAAUCAUUCAAAAAUGGAUGGGUUGGGUUCAAUUUAAUUUGUUUCUUGGAAUUGAUAUGAAUUUUUCUAGUUGUGGCAAGAUUGGGGUGUGGGGCUGAGAUUGCACUAGUUUGGUUGCAAGAUUGGGGGUCUAGGAAGGGGGGUUGUGGGUGAAGGUGAAUUGAUGUCGAGUUUGGG